GCCAUGCCGAAGACACAGCUAGAAGGCCCUCCCCAGACUCUGAAUGCCAGCUCCUUGAUCUUGGAAUUCCCAGCCUCUAGAACUUUCAGGGCAGAAAACUAUGAUUGAAAGAGAGGAAUAAGAGAAAGCAGAGGAGUAGCUGUCCCAGAGAGGAAGUUAUGGAAAGAAAGGAGACUCAGCAGAAGAAAGGGAUGUUUGGCCACAACAACCAAAGUGGAGCAUGAGGAUAGGUUUACCAACCCAGUGUGACUCUGAGAUACUGAAUGAGCAUGAGAAAGUGACACUUCAUGACUGAAAUUUGGAAGCUUCUCGUGUGGAGCUAAAAACCCAAGCCACCUUUUACAGUGUUGCAACCUCAGUCCCAAGCAGCCUAAACUAAGAAGAGCAAGCCAAAAUGAGAAGCCAAGAAAAGGAUAGAAAAACAGGAUGCUGAUGGGUCUGCACUUUAGAGAGAACGGUGUGUGCUAAGCCCAGGAGGAAAUAGAUGAUCUUCUGAUGUAAUUCCUGCUCAGAAGUGAACAUUUGCUCCAUGCCAUUUCUGCCACCAACACUGAAAAAUUAGAAAAAUACCUUGGAUCUCUUCAUUAUACAGAAACAAUAGUGCAAAUUUGUGUGACCUAGACUGGAAUAGACCAAGGUUACAUUCUGAGCUAAGCCCAAUUCUUAGAAAUAUAACUCUUUCAUCUUUAAUUUUCUAUUUCAUUUGAGCAAAACGGUUGGAGAUUUCAGAAGCACUCAGCAGGACUGAGGAUUGUUGAUGAAUUUCAAGGUUUUGUUGAAUACUUUAAAUUGCAACUAAUUAUAAGUCAUUGUUUAGAAAUUGUUAUACAACACCAUUUUUGUAAUUGAUUUGUAUAAACAGA
rnacentral:lncRNA from 10 species